CAGAAUGCCAUCAAGCACCACCCUGCCUACCUGUGCCGAAAAGGGAAACAAAACCCAGGAACAACAACACGCAUGCCCACCAACUCCUAAUACCCAGAAAUCAUUCAGUGAGGUCAACAUCACCAUCUUCACUGAGAACAGAGCUGUGGUCUGCAGAGGCAACAACCAUGUUAGCACAAAUAAAGCUUCUGAAAACUUAACACUGUUCCAGCCAGACCAGCAGCCCAAGAGAGGAAAUGAUCUCCAUGGAAAGCCACAAAGCAGAUACCAUCUACAACUGUCCAGAAGUGACGGCCACCAUGGAGGAGGCCCUCCAAACAGACUGACUCAGUUUACAGCAUGUUGUGGAAGCCAAACAAAUCUGCUACAUACACAGAACCACCAAGAGGUCAAACAAGAUCUGUGAACAGGGGGAAACAAAAGGAAACAGAACAGAAACAAAAAAAAGAAACUGAACAUUUUUUUUUAUUUCAGACAGAUACUCCAAAUAAUGACUAAAGCACUUAAAAAAUAAUAGCAACCCUCCACCAAGGUAUCUCACUCUGGUGAAGAGCCUGAGGCCGGUGACACUCCAGUUCUACUCUAAGUACAUCCUUACGGUGGCUCACAGGACAAGGCGACAUUCCUG
ensembl:lncRNA